rnacentral:rRNA from 1 species
CCUACGGGAGGCAGCAGUGGGGAAUAUUGGACAAUGGGGGCAACCCUGAUCCAGCCAUGCCGCGUGUGUGAAGAAGGCCCUCGGGUUGUAAAGCACUUUCAGUGAGGAAGAACGCCUGGUGGUUAAUACCCAUCAGGAAAGACAUCACUCACAGAAGAAGCACCGGCUAACUCCGUGCCAGCAGCCGCGGUAAUACGGAGGGUGCGAGCGUUAAUCGGAAUUACUGGGCGUAAAGCGCGCGUAGGUGGCUUGAUAAGCCGGUUGUGAAAGCCCCGGGCUCAACCUGGGAACGGCAUCCGGAACUGUCAAGCUAGAGUGCAGGCGAGGAAGGUAGAAUUCCCGGUGUAGCGGUGAAAUGCGUAGAGAUCGGGAGGAAUACCAGUGGCGAAGGCGGCCUUCUGGACUGACACUGACACUGAGGUGCGAAAGCGUGGGUAGCAAACAGGAUUAGAUACCCUGGUAGUC